rnacentral:rRNA from 1 species
UACAGAGGGUGCAAGCGUUAAUCGGAAUUACUGGGCCUAAAGCGUGCGUAGACGGUCAUGUAAGUCGGGUGUGAAAGCCCCGGGCUCAACCUGGGAAUUGCAUUCGAGACUGCAUGGCUAGGAUGCGGAAGAGGGAAGCGGAAUUUCCGGUGUAGCGGUGAAAUGCGUAGAUAUCGGAAGGAACACCAGUGGCGAAAGCGGCUUCCUGGUCCAGCAUCGACGUUCAGGCACGAAAGCGUGGGGAGCAAACAGG